rnacentral:rRNA from 1 species
UACAGAGGUCUCAAGCGUUGUUCGGAUUUACUGGGCGUAAAGGGCGCGUAGGCGGUCAGCACAAGUCAGUUGUGAAAUCUCCGGGCUUAACUCGGAAAGGUCAACUGAUACUGUGCGACUAGAGUGCGGAAGGGGCAACUGGAAUUCUUGGUGUAGCGGUGAAAUGCGUAGAUAUCAAGAGGAACACCUGCGGCGAAGGCGGGUUGCUGGGCCGACACUGACGCUGAGGCGCGAAAGCCAGGGGAGCGAACGGG